CGUAGGGUGCAAGCGUUAAUCGGAAUUACUGGGCGUAAAGCGUGCGCAGGCGGUUAUGCAAGACAGAUGUGAAAUCCCCGGGCUCAACCUGGGAACUGCAUUUGUGACUGCAUAGCAAGAGUACGGUAGAGGGGGAUGGAAUUCCGCGUGUAGCAGUGAAAUGCGUAGAUAUGCGGAGGAACACCGAUGGCGAAGGCAAUCCCCUGGACCUGUACUGACGCUCAUGCACGAAAGCGUGGGGAGCAAACAGGAUUAGAUACCCUGGUAGUCCACGCCCUAAACGAUGUCAACUGGUUGUUGGGAGGGUUUCUUCUCAGUAACGUAGCUAACGCGUGAAGUUGACCGCCUGGGGAGUACGGCCGCAAGGUUG
rnacentral:rRNA from 1 species